GACGAACGCUGGCGGCGUGCUUAACACAUGCAAGUCGAACGAUGAUGCUGGAGCUUGCUCCAGUUGAUUAGUGGCGAACGGGUGAGUAACACGUGAGCAAUCUGCCCUUGACUCUGGGAUAACUGCGGGAAACUGUAGCUAAUACCGGAUACUUUCACCGGAAGGCAUCUUUUGGUGAUGAAAGAAUUUCGGUCAGGGAUGAGCUCGCGGCCUAUCAGCUUGUUGGUGAGGUAACGGCUCACCAAGGCGACGACGGGUAACCGGCCUGAGAGGGUGAUCGGUCACACUGGGACUGAGACACGGCACAGACUCCUACGGGAGGCAGCAGUGGGGAAUAUUGCACAAGGGGCGCAAGCCUGAUGCAGCAACGCCGCGUGAGGGAUGAAGGCCUUCGGGUUGUAAACCUAUUUCAGUAAGGACGAAGCGAAAGUGACGGUACCUAAAGAAGAAGCACCGGCUAACUACGUGCCAGCCGCCGCCGUAA
rnacentral:rRNA from 1 species